ACAGUCAGGUAAAGAAUCAGCCACAUCUUGAGGAUGCCUUAUUUGCGGCCAAAGCUAGGCUAUAAUUCCACAUCUCUCUGUUCGCUGAGCAGUUCUUUAGGCGCCGAUGUCAUAAUCAAUUGUAGUGGCCAUAAAGCUGUGGGAUAAAUAAGGAGUUUUUGUUACUUAGACACCAUCGAGCUCCAAAUAAUAUGCAUACAACAAAUAAUCCAUGUGCAGAUCUAUGAGGAUGUAGAGCUUACCUAGACAGGGGAUGGUAAUUGACUAACAGGUUACCAGUACAUCUGUAGAAGAUACGGAGUUUCCACAUGUUAUGGAGAGCUUAGCAAGCAAAUUGGUGAUGUGCCCUAAACGUAAUAUACACAAUAUUAUUGAUUUCUUUGUCAUGUUCAUUGAAGGUAUUUCUUAUGCUCAUUCUUUUGUAUGCUUAUAUAACAUUGCAGGAUAGUUGAUUUAUAUACUGAUGACCUUCGCUUAGGUUUACGUUUUAAGAAACCGCUAUUGUCUCAUGCUGAGGGGUAUGAACGAGGACACAAGUUGCCUAACACCGAACCCAAGGGUGGACGCGCCUGCAAUACUGAAGUGUCUUGCAGCAGCAGUGAAAGAACGUGGAUUUGAUGGAACAAAUUAUGCUUUAGCGGGAUGCUAAACGAGAAGAGGUUGAGGACAGCCAGCCAGCCACAGCAGCUUCCGCCAGAAUCAGGAGCUGUGGAAAAGAUCACGAAAUGGACAGGAGAACGAGAAUCCUUCGGGACAGAGAUGAGUUGCGGGAUCGAAAAAAAAGAGUCGUGCACUUCCAGGUGAGCACAACGCUCUACUGAUGCCAAUCCGUGCCAUUCAUGCAUGGUUCGGUGGAAUUCAUUGUAUACACAGUAACAGGCCAUGUGAACAUUGUCAACGGAUAUAACCAAGUUGGAUCUGAUGACCAACAGAGAUUUAGGUGUAAGGAAGUCACUGCAGUGUAUAUACUGAAAAGUAAGAGCAGAUUAAUGAAGGUCAGGUAGUCUUGCUAUGGUCAAGCUAUGAUUGUUGUUUAUCAGUGUGGCAUUUCUCUAGAAACUAACUUAAUUGUCACUCAACCAUGCGAUGGCCUAUGGUCACAAAGGCAUCCGAUAGUUCUGUGGGCAGCUGACGACACAAAUGCUUCGGCUGUUGGGCUCUAAUCGCAGAAGGUGGUGCUCUGGUACACGUUUGGAUUGGAUUUGGCUAUGUAGUGUAACGUCACAUAUUCGUCUUUCAAGUCUUAGCUUGAAAUGUAAAAAUAUUUCGUUGAUUUGUAUGGGGAUCAAUUCAUUACAAGUUGUCUAUCUAUGACAUGGAUGCUUUGGUAGAUGCUAUGCACCGUUAUUACAGGAAUUGGCAUGAUCACGAGCUAUACAUGCUAUGGAAUCUCAAAGAGAAGGAUAUAAGUAAGCUUUUGGUAUGUUUUCAUCCUUAUCUUUUCAUUUGAAUUGAACAUACAGACAUAUGUAGCAACAUUUUUUUGGAAGUAUAACCUCAGUUAGGAUUUAGGUAGUAUAUGAGCUUAGAAAAUACUUUGACUUCGUGCACUGACGGAGUUUUUUGUAUUAGUGAAUGGUAAUGUCCGGGACUACUAGAAUUUAUCUCCUAGAUUGGUUUUGCGGGUGAGAAUAUACACACGUUAAAACAACCAUUUUUCAGAAAUUUAAAGAAGUUGUUGCCGCAUAUAUGUUCUCCGAUAUUAAUGUUUGCAUGUCUUGAUAUCAUCUACAGAGUAUACUCAUGUGGCAGCUA